CUAUCUGUUUUGAUCUUCGAUUUUUUAAUUUGAUUUAUUAGGUUUACCUUUUCCCCUCUAUUUUCUUUGAUGUUCAAUUGUUACAGCCUUAAAGGUGGCUUUCAAGCACUAUUUUUUUAUCUUUGUUCAUCCUUUGCCUAGGCAAUAGAAUUUCAGGCUUCAUAUUUGUUCUUCUCAAAGUAUUCUUGCAAUUUUCAGGUAUUUCUCAGUUGUUAUUUUCUACUCGUCUUCAAUUUUCCCUUCCCUAUUUGAGGGUAUUUUUUGCUCUUCAUUCCGAAAUUUAAUUGUAAAUUUUGGAUAAUCAAUCUUUGCUUUUGAUUGUUCAUAUAUAUAUAUUAUCUCCGUAACCUUUCAUCUUCGAGCUUCUCCAAGUACAACUUUUUCAUCUUCAAUAUUCUCCCAGUACUGGUUCAAUUUUGAGAAAUGGAAAUGAAAAUUCUUUGAGGUGGUAAAAUGAUGAUUUGAGUUUGUGAUUGGAUUAUCAGCUAACCAUUUCAUCAUUAUUUAUAAGGUUGGAUGGUUUGUUUUGCUGGCCAAUUUGAGUUUAUUGUGGUGCCAAUUGACACAGAAAUUAAAACUCAUAGAAAGCCUGAAGUUCAUCCGCAACUGCGAACAGUUCCAAAUGCCCAGACAACGAAGAAGAAGUGGUUCGGGCUAUUGAAGUGAUUUAUGGACAAUUUCGUAGAGAAGCUUGGAUUGUUUCUUAAGUUGGUGACCGAGGACAAAAGCCUAUGAAUCUAGCUUUAGUUGUUUUGUUAUAUUGAAAGACAUUGUUCUAUUUUUUCUAUUUCAAGAACUAUGUCGUAUUCAUUUUGUUAGAGUUGUAUUGAUGUAAGGGCUAAGUCUCAACUUUUAUGU